GCGGGUGUAGCUCAAGGGGUAGAGCGUGUGCUUGCUUUACACAGGAGGUCCUGGGUUCAAUCCCCAGUACCUCCU
rnacentral:tRNA from 1 species